rnacentral:lncRNA from 1 species
CUUCUCUCUUCCCACCUCUAUCUGCCUUAUUGAACUUCAUCUUUCCUUCAUUCUCUUCAACUUCCACUUCUUCUUGUAUGGUCCUGUUGAUGCCAUCUUGUUUCCGUCCCCAGACUCAUCAUCUUUACCCUCUGUCAACUGAGUUCCCACCCUGGUUCUCUCUCAAGAUCUUCCUCUCAUAGCUUUCACCCUUGGUAAACAAUGAGGACACAUCUCAAAAAGAAUGAUGUAAUUUAAUUGCCUUGAGUUGGCUGGGCCAUCAUCUAUUAUAAAGUGCUCUUAAAAUUAAAGCUAAUUUAAUUCUGAAGAACUAAGGAUUAAGAAGUUAAGAGCUGGGGUUCUUACAAUAUGGCUUGCAGACUACAAGUGUGAACUGAGGAGGUCCCCAAAGUCACUUCUUACUAAGUUCAGAUAGGUGAUGGAUUGAAAAUAAUCCCAAUAUUCCACAAGCAACAUCAACAUCCCCCACACACCCAGCACCGAGGAAUACCCUCCUCUCUAGAAUGUGAGGCCACUGUGUGGAGGAAGACACCACGGUGCUCUACUGAGCCAUGAAAGUCACGCCUGACCUAAACAGAAGACUACGUCCCCUGGCUAAAAGAGGAAAUAGUUGAAAGCGGUGUAAAUGGCUCUUAUCUGAACCACAAUGAAUUCACAUAUUCAAGUUGGCUUCUUCGGAAAUUUCAGGC